rnacentral:rRNA from 1 species
UAGGGAAUCUUCCGCAAUGGGCGAAAGCCUGACGGAGCAACGCCGCGUGAGUGAUGAAGGUCUUCGGAUCGUAAAACUCUGUUAUUAGGGAAGAACAAAUGUGUAAGUAGCUAUGCACGUCUUGACGGUACCUAAUCAGAAAGCCACGGCUAACUACGUGCCAGCAGCCGCGGUAAUACGUAGGUGGCAAGCGUUAUCCGGAAUUAUUGGGCGUAAAGCGCGCGUAGGCGGUUUUUUAAGUCUGAUGUGAAAGCCCACGGCUCAACCGUGGAGGGUCAUUGGAAACUGGAAAACUUGAGUGCAGAAGAGGAAAGUGGAAUUCCAUGUGUAGCGGUGAAAUGCGCAGAGAUAUGGAGGAACACCAGUGGCGAAGGCGACUUUCUGGUCUGUAACUGACGCUGAUGUGCGAAAGCGUGGGGAUCAAACAGG